AUAACUGCAGCACAGCGUCUAUGCUUGGAGUGCACCAAUCGAUUGAUGAAGGCCAUUGGCACCUUGAACCACACUCUGAGAAAAGACUGGAGCAAUAAAUCGGCUGUGUUCUGCCUUGGUAUGACC